UACGUGAGGGGGCAAGCGUUGUCCGGAUUUAUUGGGCGUAAAGAGCGUGUAGGCGGCUAGGUAGGUCCGUUGUGAAAACUCGAGGCUCAACCUCGAGACGUCGAUGGAAACCAUCUAGCUAGAGUCCGGAAGAGGAGAGUGGAAUUCCUGGUGUAGCGGUGAAAUGCGCAGAUAUCAGGAAGAACACCGGUGGCGAAGGCGGCGACCUGGUCCGAUACUGACGCUGAGGCGCGAAAAGCGUGGGGAGCAAACAGG
rnacentral:rRNA from 1 species